rnacentral:rRNA from 1 species
UACGAAGGGGGCUAGCGUUGCUCGGAAUCACUGGGCGUAAAGCGCACGUAGGCGGAUUGCUAAGUCAGGGGUGAAAUCCUGGAGCUCAACUCCAGAACUGCCUUUGAUACUGGCGACCUUGAGUCCGGGAGAGGUGAGUGGAACUGCGAGUGUAGAGGUGAAAUGCGUAGAUAUCUGGAGGAACACCGGUGGCGAAGGCGGCGUCCUGGACCAACACUGACACUGAUGAGCGAAAGCCAGGGGAGCAAACGGG